rnacentral:rRNA from 1 species
UACGUAGGGACCAAGCGUUGUCCGGAUUUACUGGGCGUAAAGGGCGCGUAGGCGGCGCGGUAAGUCACUUGUGAAAUCUCUGAGCUUAACUCAGAACGGCCAAGUGAUACUGCAGUGCUAGAGUGUGGAAGGGGCAAUCGGAAUUCUUGGUGUAGCGGUGAAAUGCGUAGAUAUCAAGAGGAACACCUGAGGUGAAGACGGGUUGCUGGGCCAACACUGACGCUGAUGCGCGAAAGCCAGGGGAGCAAACGGG